rnacentral:rRNA from 1 species
GAUGAACGCUGGCGGCGUGCCUAAUACAUGCAAGUCGAGCGAACAGACGAGGAGCUUGCUCCUCUGACGUUAGCGGCGGACGGGUGAGUCACACGUGGAUAACCUACCUAUAAGACUGGGAUAACUUCAGGAAACCGGAGCUAAUACCGGAAAAUAUAUUGAACCGCAUGGUUCAAUAGUUAAAGUCGGUUUUGGUGUCACUUAUAGCUUGAUCCGCGCCGCAUUAGCUAGUUGGUAAGGUAACGGCUUACCAAGGCUACGAUGUGUAGCCGACCUGAGAGGGUGAUCGGCCACACGGGAACUGAGACACGGCCCAGACUCCUACGGUAGGCAGCAGUAGGGAAUCUUCCGCGAUGGGCGAGAGCGUGACAGAGCAACGCCGCGUGAGUGAUGAAGGUCUUCGGAUCGUAAAACUCUGUUAUUAGGGAAGAACAAAUGUGUAAGUAACUAUGCACGUAUUGACGGUACCUAAACAGAAAGCCACGGCUAACUCCGUG